UCGUCCUGGUACAGUAUCCAUUUCCGAGAAGUUUAGUAUAGAUUGGGGAACGUAUAUGUCAUCGCGGAACGAUGUUGUGUAUGUUCGCCUAGAUGUAAGAGGCGCAAAGGGGCAAAGUAGGAAAUCUCUUUACCGUCGUUUGGGAGGAGUUGAAGUUUUAGACCAAAUUUCUGUCUUAAGGUAUUUGCUUGAUACCAUUGGCUUCUAGACGAAACAAGAGUAGGUAUAUGGGGUCGAGGCUACGGUGGCUAUGUAGCUUCUAUGGUACUCGGUACUCAACAGGAUGUGUUUAAGUGCGGCAUUGCUAUAUCCCCGAUAGCAGAUUGGCUCUACUACAAUUCUGCCUUCACUGAGCGAGUACUAGGUCUGCCUUUAGAGAAUUUUAAAGGAUACGUUGAGGCAGAUGCUACUCAGCGUGCUCUACUUAUUAAAUCCAAUUCUUUUUUUUUGAUGCAUGGCUUAGCCGAUUCUUCUGCCCCCUUUGUACAUGGAGUUAAAUUAGCUAAAUCGUUAACAAAUGCAAAUAUACUUUAUCGUUACCAGACUUAUGCAGAUGAAGGUCACAAUUUAGAUGGUGUUUUGGAACAUGCAUAUUCGUCAAUGGAACAAUUUUUUUCAAAUUGUUUAAGCUUGGACCCAGACGAUACAAAGCCU